GGCCUCGUAGUUCAACUGAAUAGAAUACCUGACUACGGAUCAGGCGGUUGCAAGUUUGAAUCUUGCCGAGGUCA
rnacentral:tRNA from 1 species